GGGAGCUUUUAAAAGAGGGUUUGGAGGCUCUGCUUCUGGGUUCGGGAUUGUUUUGUGGUGCUUGAGAUGAGGAGGGUACAGGGAGGAGCUGACUAGCUGCAGGCCAUGUUAGGAUAGAACUGAGAGGCAGCAGGUCAGACCUGUGCGCAGGGAUGGGAAUAGCAUCACCAGGGUGAGCUGAGCAAUGCUGCACCAAUUCACACCCAGAGCCAACUGAAGCCUGAACCUGAGUGACAACCCUGACUUCUCCUGGCACAUCUCAAGAGCAAGACUUUGUCACCAGGAUUACGUGGCCAACUGUUCAAGGAGGUCAUGGUGAACACAGCAAGAGGAAGGCUUCUCAUAUUCAGCUCCAAGGCACUUGACAAGGGGUACACAAAUGUACAUAUUUGGAGGAGCAUGAAGCAUCAGUCGUAUCUACACUGACCUUCAAGAUCAGAAGAUGGUAUUAAAGUCAUUACCUGGAAUUAAAAUAUUUCCUGUAUGUCAUUCCUGGAGCUGUACUAUACAGAUAGUCAAUAUAAACAAAAUGUGACCUUGUUUAAGAGUCAGAGUUCUCAGUGGUAGCCCCUGACUGAUGUAACUUCCUCUCUGGGGAAGCUCUCUUUGAUGAAGCUCUUAGGGGUCUUUUUGCAAAUCACUACAACAAUCCAGGUUUUGAUUCCUAGUUUCUAGUGCUGAAGCCAUGAGUUAUGGAUUAUAUCAGC